AUAGCGCCAGUGGCAGCCAGGGCAAAACGUCGAGCAGGCGAGUAUCGAACACCAGCGCCACCCCUUCCAGGCAUGCUGGCAAGGAACAGUCGGAUGCGCCUUGCCCUGCAUACGUAUCGAUGCGCUUCGCAAUUCUGUCUGCAUUAUACUACUGGGGAGAACCCCGGGAUGGAUGGGAUUUGGCAGUGUAAGAACCAAGAACUGAGAACCGAGAACUGAGAACUCAUAUUGAAUGGCGCUCAGUCGUACAAGAUAGUCAGACAUCACGGUUCGUCUGAAAAACGCGCAAUGCGUAUCGCGGUAUUGUACGAAUGACCGCGCAUAUAUAAGAACCGGGAACUGAAAGCUGGAGUCAGGGAUAAGGGUCAGAGGCGGAAGUUAGCACAUGCAACCGCCACCCUUUGUUUGACGUAAGCCUUCUCACGCUCAACGUGCACCUUUCAACGUGCAACGAUCACCUUUACCCUUUACCCUUCCCACCUUCAUAUCUUCAACCCUUGACGUCUCUUGCCUCGCGCCUGAAACGCACAGCGGCCAUAUACCGGAUGACCGGCAUACGACCGCUGUUACCGAUACUGAUUUCAGACUACUAAAUAGCGAUACGCGCAGCGACUUCGGCGAGGCGCGCUGCAUAUCCCAUCUCGUUAUCGUACCGCGCGGCUGCUGACACAAUC
rnacentral:rRNA from 1 species